rnacentral:rRNA from 1 species
AUACGUAGGGGGCGAGCGUUGUCCGGAAUGAUUGGGCGUAAAGGGCGCGUAGGCGGCCCGGUAAGUCUGGAGUGAAAGUCCUGUUUUUAAGAUGGGAAUUGCUUUGGAUACUGUCGGGCUUGAGUGCAGGAGAGGUAAGUGGAAUUCCCAGUGUAGCGGUGAAAUGUGUAGAGAUUGGGAGGAACACCAGUGGCGAAGGCGACUUACUGGACUGUAACUGACGCUGAGGCGCGAAAGUGUGGGGAGCAAACAGGAUUAGAUACCCUGGUAGUCCACACUGUAAACGAUGAAUGCUAGGUGUAGGGGGUAUCGACCCCUUCUGUGCCGCAGUCAACACAGUAAGCAUUCCGCCUGGGGAGUACGGCCGCAAGGUUGAAACUCAAAUGAAUUGACGGGG